rnacentral:lncRNA from 1 species
CCUCCCCAGUCCCCAGGGAUGGGUUUGGGCUGUUUGAGUUGCCCCUGCCCCGUUUCCCCACAGAGUUCCCGGCCCCAGAGGCGCUGGAGGUGCAGCAGGAGCAGCAGAGCAGGGUCCUGGUGCGGUGGCAGCGCCCCCAGCCCAGCCAGAGCCCCCUGCUCUGGUUCAUCCUGCAGUGGCUGUCCAGCCCCCAGCACGGCCUGCAGGAGCAGCACAGCUGGGACAGAAUCCCAAAACACCAAACUCACACCUACAUCCCAGGGACAGCGGCUCCCCGGCAGGUGUGGCUGCACGCGGUGUAUCCCGGCGGGAUCAGCGCUCCCUGCUCCAGCCCAGAUGAUGACAUCCAAAUUCUCCUGGGACUGAGCCUCAGCGUGGUCGGAUUAUCCGUUCUUUUUGCAGUUGUGAUGUUUAAAAAGUCAGUCAGGAAAAGGUAUUCCUUUCUCCUCCAUGUCUUCUUCCCUUAUUCCCAAUUCAGAAUUUUUUACCCCUUUUUUGGGGGAGGGUGUUUGGGGUUUUGGGGGAAUUUUUGGGGGGUUUUGUGGGGUUUUUCUUUUUUUUUUUUUUUUUGUAGAUAGAAGAAAUACAAAAUUUCUUCUGGGAUGUGUUAAAAUCAACUACAGAUUCCCUUUCACCUCAGCCUGAGGGCAAUAUCACACAUUUAUCAUAUGAAAGGACUUUUUGGUGCUCUACACUAAGGCAGAGAGCAACAAAAAAAAAAAGUCAAAUAAACAUGAAAUUGAUGAAAUUUAAGAAUGGGGA